rnacentral:rRNA from 1 species
ACGAACGCUGGCGGCGUGCUUAACCCAUGCAAGUCGCACGGAAAGGCCCUGCUUUUGUGGGGUGCUCGAGUGGCGAACGGGUGAGUAACACGUGAGUAACCUGCCCUUGACUUUGGGAUAACUUCAGGAAACUGGGGCUAAUACCGGAUAGGAGCUCCUGCUGCCUGGUGGGGGUUGGAAAGUUUCGGCGGUUGGGGAUGGACUCGCGGCUUAUCAGCUUGUUGGUGGGGUAGUGGCUUACCAAGGCUUUGACGGGUAGCCGGCCUGAGAGGGUGACCGGCCACAUUGGGACUGAGAUACGGCCCAGACUCCUACGGGAGGCAGCAGUGGGGAAUAUUGCACAAUGGGCGGAAGCCUGAUGCAGCAACGCCGCGUGCGGGAUGACGGCCUUCGGGUUGUAAACCGCUUUCGCCUGUGACGAAGCGUGAGUGACGGUAAUGGGUAAAGAAGCACCGGCUAACUACGUG